GUGGGGAAUUUUGCGCAAUGGGGGAAACCCUGACGCAGCGACGCCGCGUGGAGGAUGAAGGCCCUUGGGUCGUAAACUCCUGUCAGGUGGGAAGAAAAGCCUUCGGUAAACAGCCGAGGGUCUUGACUGUACCACCGGAGGAAGCCCCGGCUAACUCCGUGCCAGCAGCCGCGGUAAUACGGAGGGGGCAAGCGUUGUUCGGAAUCAUUGGGCGUAAAGGGCGCGUAGGCGGCCGGCCAAGUCGGGUGUGAAAUCCCUCGGCUCAACCGAGGAACUGCACUCGAUACUGGCUGGCUAGAGUCCGGGAGGGGAUGGUGGAAUUCCCAGUGUAGCGGUGAAAUGCGUAGAUAUUGGGAAGAACACCGGUGGCGAAGGCGGCCAUCUGGACCGGCACUGACGCUGAGGCGCGAAAGCCAGGGGAGCGAAUGGGAUUAGAAACCCGAGUAGUCC
rnacentral:rRNA from 1 species